ACUGUGGCAGGGAAGACAUGGCACAGGAACAGGGGAGCUGGUUGUACACAUUCCCUCCAUUUACAGGGAACACAGAGGGCAGGAAGGAGGAUGUGGCUGCUUGAGGAAGCCUCAGCAUCCUUCUUAGGGACGUGCUUCCUCCUGUAAGGCUUCACCUGUAAAAGUUUCUAUAAUCUCCUGAGCAGCCCAACAGCUGGAGAUGCAGUGUUCAUAUGUGAGUCUGUGGGGGCCACUAAUUUAAACCACUACCCAGGUUAGCCUUGAACUGACAAUCCUGCCUCCACCUCCUAAAUCUGUAGGUUAUGCACAUGAACCUCCAUUCUUGAGUUCAUUUAAUUUUUUUAUGGUUGUAUUCAUUUUUACUUCAUAUGUAUUAAUGUCUUGCCUGUGUGUAUGCCUGUAUACCACAUAUGUACAGUGCCUUCAGAGUCCAGAAGAAGGCAUCAGAUCUCCUGGGACUGGAGACAGCUCAUAUGGUCCAAUGCUUUUUAACUGCUGAGCCAUUUCUUUAUGUCAAGUUUUUUUUUUUUAAUUUAUUUUGUUUGUUUUCUUUUCAGAAUAGGCAAGAUGGUUUUGCUGAUAAUGGUGCAUUUGGCCUACAUUCAGUCCUAGUGAUUGACAUGUUGGAAGGAGCCAACACUCGCCCUUUGCUCUCCGUUCGACUCUACACUUAUACCACUGUACUUGUCCAGCACCCCACAAAUGAAUCCAUACAUCUGUAUUCAUUUACAUAUCUGUAUGUGUGUUCAGAUGAUCAUUUGAAAGAGUGAAAACAGUGAAAGCUAACCCUUUCAGCUUGUUAAAGGAAGCCUGAGAAACCUGCAGAGAAACAGAUGAUACCAGGAAGCAGGCAAAGAUGUCUGUUUUCAUUCUGUUAAGUCAUCAUUUUGUGUGACAUCACAAGUAAAUAUAGAAAGGCAAAGGAAAUACAAGGUGUGCAGAUUAGAAAGGAAGAUUGGAGCUGGGCGUGGUGGCGCACGCCUUUAAUCCCAGCACUCGGGAGGCAGAGGCAGGUGGAUUUCUGAGUUUGAGGCCAGCCUGGUCUACAAAGUGAGUUCCAGGACAUCCGGGGCUAUACAGAGAAACACUGUCUCGAAAAACCAAAAACCAAAAAC
rnacentral:lncRNA from 1 species